rnacentral:snoRNA from 1 species
AGUGCCCCUGAAGGCAUUGGAGGUGUGGCUGUCAGGAGGUGGCAGAGGGGAGAGAGGCUAUGUCUAUGUUCAUUGUUCUCACCUAUGAACAUCUGAAUGAUUAAUAGUCUAACAAU